rnacentral:lncRNA from 1 species
AACGAGAUUUGCUAUGGAAGUGAGUAUUAGAUGAUUUGUAGAUAACUAUCGUAUCUUGUUGCUAUUAAAAUUUCAUAGCUGUUGGCCUUAUGAUUUACAAAUGGCAAUUGUUUUGGUGGUGAGUGUUACAUGAAAAAGUGUCUUCUAGCAAUGGUCACCACUUUGCAUGUCCGGUAGCCAAUUUUCCCUAAUAAAUACUAUCCAAAUAACACAUAACCAGCAUGUCAUACUUACCAUCACUAUUUCCACGCAACAUUGUCAACACAACAAUCUCACGAUCUUCUUCUAGCCUUUUCCAUUUCAUUAGAUUAUCCGUCACUAACUUGUCGGACACCCUUAUCUUACAAAUAUUAUGGCUACAGAUUCAAUUAAAAUUACAAGAAAAUAUAAGAAAUUUGAAUUAUCUUAAAUACUAAAAAAUUAAAAUCCAUGAUAUAUGAACAUACGUGCUAUCCAGUAGAACCAUAUGUAUAGUUGGAAUCUUUCGAUUAUAGUCACUAUCAGUUUGUGCAAAUGAACUAACCAUGAAAGACAAACCAAUAAUAUCUAACAUUUGAAUAUAAAAGAAAAAAUAAUAAAUAUUUGAUUAGAAAAAAACAUUUACAGCCUACAGAAAAAGAAACUAGAGCACUUACCAACAUAUAUAUCAUUAUCCAUAUAGAAGUCUCAUACUUUGUUAAAACACAUAAAAGGUGGAAAUAAUGGGAUUUGCUUCUCGUCCAUGUUUCUGACCUCAUUAAGUGUUGUCACUGAGGUAAAAUUACACACUAGGUCAUUGUCAUAGUUGGUUGUGCGGACAUGCGCCCCAUAAAAUAUACUCGACCCUCUACAAGUAAAGGCUCCAGGCGAUCCACCUC